UUGAAAAAAACAGUGUAAAGC
rnacentral:piRNA from 1 species